rnacentral:rRNA from 1 species
GACGAACCGUACAAACGUUAUUCGGAAUCACUGGGCUUAAAGGGUGCGUAGGCGGCGCUGAAAGUAGGGUGUGAAAUCCCUCGGCUCAACCGAGGAACUGCGCUCUAAACUACAGUGCUCGAGGGAGACGAGAGGUGAGCGGAACUUAGGGUGGAGCGGUGAAAUGACGUUGAUAUCCUAAGGAACACCCGUGGCGAAAGCGGCUACACUGGGUCUC